AGAGUUUGAUGUUCUUUCUUGGUGGAAAAUGGAACAAUUACGCUAUCCAAUACUUGGUCGCUUGGCUCGUAAUGUGCUUACAAUUUCUAUUUCUACGAUAGAGUAUUGGACCAAAAUCGAAGCUCACUAUUACCUGAAACCGUUCAAACAUUGUUAUGUUGUCGUGAUUGGUUAUUCGAUAAGAAAGGUAAAUUCUCUAUCACUUAAUCACUGUAUUAAUUUCAUAUCUUUUCAUCUUGUGAGUUUCAUUUGAUUUUAAAUUGACUAAAUUUUUUAAUAUAUAUUUCAGAUCAACAUCGCACUGAUUGGGAGCAACUCAGUGAAAACGUGAUAGAUUUGACAUUGGACGGAUAAAACAGAUCAUAACAAAAGAGAAACAAGGUGGGAGAAACCAAAUUUGUAGUAGCUGACUUGUGUUUGUAGUAGCUGAUUAGUUGACAUAUGAUGUUUGUGUCGAGAGAAACCAAAUUUGAAUGAAUGCAUGAAACUCUGUUGCAUCUUUUUGUAUGAAUAUCAGGUCUUAUAAACCAAAAAACAAAAAAAGAACUAAUAGGAUGCCCCUUUUAUAUGUGAUGUCAUUUGUAUGCAGCAAAUAUAUACGAGUUGUUCGGCAUCAAUUUUACAAUUAGAUAUUAAUGUUAUAAACUUAUAAUUGCAUAGAAGAGAAGUAAACUAAUUGCACAAAAUAUGGGUAUUUGAUUUGAUUAGAAAAAGAAAGAUUUAAAAAAAAAAGGGAAAAAACGCUUUAGUGGGUCUUAACGGGUUCCAACAGGUAACCCACGAACCCAAUGGGUUCAACCCGUUAUAACCCGUUAGCUAACGGGUUGUAACGGGUUGAAACGUUAAACCCGCUAACCCGUCACAGCCCACCCACUAACCGCCCAACCGGCCCAUUUGCCGGGUUGACUUGGGCAGGAAAGUGUUUUGCAAAGAAGCUCAUCAGGUAAUGCACUAAUCCUAUCUUUAACUCUUGCUUGACUCUUUGACAUUGAAACCCUGGUUCAAAAAUGGAACACCAUUCAAUUAUUUCUGACUUAGUAUCAUAGAAACUGAAUCAAAGUUAACUUUAUAAACCUGUAUGGCUCCUGAAAAACAAAAAUAAGGAAAGAUAGAAAGCUAAAUUCUUUACCGACUCUCACUCAUUUGGUUAAUCAUGAAACGAAAGCUACAUGCAUCAAAAUCAGGUUAAUCCUGGAAUGCCAAUUGUAGAAGAGGACACACAGCUAAAGACAUGAUCUUUGAAUUGAAUUCCUAAUGUUCAUUUUCUCAGUUGCCAUUUUGCCAAACAGACGGUAACAAACUAAAGGAUGGCAUAGAAUACUAAACACCCGUUUAUGACCAAAAGUGGACCUUUACAAGCGUCUAUAUAAUUUUCCAAUUUUCUGGGUCACUACAUAUUAAGUAAGUUUUAACUUCUGAGCCUAUGCCCUUUGUUGAAGAGGGACUAUAGGGCACCCUUCGAGAAUUUAAACAGAGUAUUACUUUAUAACUAAAGGCCUUGCAAGCAUUUACAAACCCAGGAAUCUAAAUCCAAACAAAAAGCCAAAGCCAGCUUCAUAGUUCGAAGCUUAAAGGCCCCCACAAAUCUGAGUAAGAAAACAAUCUCAUUCGAAAUAACCCAGAAAUUGUUUUUGGAACACUCACCGAAGAAAUGAGAGAGCAAGGAGAAAGCGGCAGAGAGAACUCAAAGGAGAGAGCG
rnacentral:lncRNA from 1 species